UAAGACGAGCUCUCCAAACGUUAUUCGGUAUUACUGGGCUUAAAGAGUUCGUAGGCGGUCUUGUAGGUGAGGUGUGAAAGCCCUCGGCUUAACCGAGGAAUUGCGCUUCAAACCGCGAGGCUUGAGGGAGGUAGGGGUAUGCGGAACAGAUGGUGGAGCGGUGAAAUGCGUUGAUAUCAUCUGGAACACCGGUGGCGAAAGCGGCAUACUGGACCUUUUCUGACGCUGAGGAACGAAAGCUAGGGUAGCGAACGGGAUUAGAUACCCCGGUAGUCCUAGCCGUAAACGAUGAGCACUAGUCUGUAGGGACCCUCACAUCCUUUCGGACGUAGCGAAAGUGUUAAGUGCUCCGCCUGGGGAGUAUGGUCGCAAGGCUG
rnacentral:rRNA from 1 species